rnacentral:rRNA from 1 species
AUUGAACGCUGGCGGCAUGCUUUACACAUGCAAGUCGAACGGUAACAGGCCGCAAGGUGCUGACGAGUGGCGAACGGGUGAGUAAUGCGUCGGAACGUGCCCAGUCGUGGGGGAUAACGCAGCGAAAGCUGCGCUAAUACCGCAUACGAUCUAUGGAUGAAAGCGGGGGACCGUAAGGCCUCGCGCGAUUGGAGCGGCCGAUGUCAGAUUAGGUAGUUGGUGGGGUAAAGGCUCACCAAGCCAACGAUCUGUAGCUGGUCUGAGAGGACGACCAGCCACACUGGGACUGAGACACGGCCCAGACUCCUACGGGAGGCAGCAGUGGGGAAGUUUGGACAAUGGGCGCAAGCCUGAUCCAGCAAUGCCGCGUGCAGGAAGAAGGCCUUCGGGUUGUAAACUGCUUUUGUACGGAACGAAAAGGCUCUGGAUAAUACCUGGGGCUCAUGACGGUACCGUAAGAAUAAGCACCGGCUAACUACGUGCCAGCCGCCGCAGUAAGAC